rnacentral:rRNA from 1 species
UUUAGUCAGGCAACGAGCGAGACCCACGCCAACAGUUGCCAGCUCGUCCUCCGGGAUGGUGGGGACACUGUUGGGACCGCCUCUGCUAAAGAGGAGGAAGGAAUGGGCAACGGUAGGUCAGCAUGCCCCGAAUUAACUGGGCUACACGCGGGCUACAAUGGGUGGGACAAUGGGUAUCGACACCGAAAGGUGAAGGCAAUCUCCUAAACCCAUCCGUAGUUCGGAUUGUGGGCUGCAACUCGCCCACAUGAAGCUGGAAUCUGUAGUAAUCGUGUCUCAAAAUGGCACGGUGAAUAUGUCCCUGCUCCUUGCACA